GCGCUAAUAGCUCAACUGGAUAGAGUGUCAGACUACGAAUCUGGAGGUUGCGAGUUCGAUUCUUGCUUAGCGCGCCA
rnacentral:tRNA from 1 species